GCAUAUCAAUAAGCGGAGGAAAAGAAACUAACAAGGAAUUCCCCUAGUAACGGCGAGUGAAGAGGGAAGAGCCCAAGAUUGAAAGCUGGCGUCUUUGGCGUCCGCAUUGUAAUCUCAAGAAGUGUUUUCCGCUUCGGACCAUGCCUAAGUCCCUUGGAAAAGGGCAUCAUAGAGGGUGAUAAUCCCGUACAUGGCAUGGAGCGCCCGAAGCUUUGUGAUACACUUUCUAAGAGUCGAGUUGUUUGGGAAUGCAGCUCAAAAUGGGUGGUAAAUGCCAUCUAAGGCUAAAUAUUGGGGAGAGACCGAUAGCGAACAAGUACAGUGAUGGAAAGAUGAAAAGAACUUUGAAAAGAGAGUUAAACAGUACGUGAAAUUGCCAAAAGGGAAGGGUAGGAGGUCAGAGAUGCGGUCUGGGAUUCAGCCUUGCUUUUGCUGGGUGUUUUUCUCAGAUUGCAGGCCAACGUCGGUUUUGGGCGCUGGAGAAGGGUGGAAGGAAUGUGGCACCUCUCGGGGUGUGUUAUAGCCUUCUACUGGAUACAGUGACCGAGACCGAGGACAGCAGCGUACUCGCAAGAGCGGGCCUUCGGGCACCUUUACGCUUAGGGCGUUGGCAUAAUGGCCCUCUACCACCCGUCUUGAAACACGGACCAAGGAGUCUAACAUGUAUGCGAGUCUUUGGGUGGCAAACCCAUAGGCGCAAUGAAAGUGAAUUCAGGUGGGAUCCGCAAGGUGCACCAUCGACCGAUCCUCACGUCUUUUUAAGUCGUGGAUUUGAGUAAGAGCAUACCUGUUGGGACCCGAAAGAUGGUGAACUAUGCCUGAAUAGGGUGAAGCCAGAGGAAACUCUGGUGGAGGCUCGUAGCGGUUCUGACGUGCAAAUCGAUCGUCAAAUUUGGGUAUAGGGGCGAAAGACUAAUCGAACCAUCUAGUAGCUGGUUCCUGCCGAAGUUU
rnacentral:rRNA from 1 species